UACGAAGGGGGCUAGCGUUGCUCGGAAUGACUGGGCGUAAAGGGCGCGUAGGCGGAUGGCACAGUCAGAUGUGAAAUUCCCGGGCUUAACCUGGGGGCUGCAUUUGAUACGUGUGAUCUGGAGUGAGGAAGAGGGUCGUGGAAUUCCCAGUGUAGAGGUGAAGUUCGUAGAUAUUGGGAAGAACACCGGUGGCGAAGGCGGCGACCUGGUCCUUUACUGACGCUGAGGCGCGAAAGCGUGGGGAGCAAACAGG
rnacentral:rRNA from 1 species